ACAGCAGCCGCCGCGGUAAUACGUAGGGUGCAAGCGUUAAUCGGAAUUACAGGGCGUAAAGCGUGCGCAGGCGGUUUGUUAAGACAGAUGUGAAAUCCCCGGGCUCAACCUGGGAACUGCAUUUGUGACUGGCAAGCUAGAGUAUGGCAGAGGGGGGUGGAAUUCCGCGUGUAGCAGUGAAAUGCGUAGAGAUCGGGAGGAACAUCAGUGGCGAAGGCGGCCAUCUGGGACAACACUGACGCUGAGGCACGAAAGCGUGGGGAGCAAACAGGAUUAGAUACCCGUGUAGUCCCUGUCUCUUAUAC
rnacentral:rRNA from 1 species